UGAUGUGGCUGCCUGAUGUGGCCAUGGUGU
rnacentral:piRNA from 1 species